AUAAAUGAUGAACAACGGGUCUGCUGAGAUUUACCCGACGGGGUAGGUCGGUGAGGAACCGUUGGAGCACUGAUG
rnacentral:snoRNA from 1 species